GUGCUUGCUUUGGCAGCACAUAUACUAAAAUUGGAAAGAUACAGAGAAGAUUAGCAUGGCCCCUGAGUAAGGAUGACAUGCAAAUUCGUGAAGCGUUCCAUAUUUUU
ensembl:snRNA U6 U6 spliceosomal RNA